AAAACUAUUCAAACUUUUACAAAAGAUAAGAAAGCAGAGAAUGAGAUGUGGACAUGAGAAGCUGACCUUAAAUGAAGAGAAAUAUUAUAACAUAAGCAUGUUAUUUUCUCAGUAGUAUUCAUUGGUGCUUUGCCUUCUGUUAUACAUCUGCAAAUGCUUAGAAAUGCCGAGAACACUGUCUCUAAACUUAUUUGCUUCAAGAAUAAAGUAGACUGAGUUACCUUCAAUUAUUUUAUUAUUUUUUGCUAUUUGAAAAAAGAAAGAGACUGUGUUACAACUCAGAAAUUCAUUAAAUCUUGAUAGUAAAGGAGAUACUCUACCUUCAUGAACACUGAAGGAGCCCUUAGUGAGUGUGGCAGUGUGCUGUGUCAUAGAUGCUCUAUUCAAGCCAACUGCCAUUGUCAGUGCUGUAGCAAAGAUGGAAUAUAGUCAGAGAAGGAGCCUUUGAAUUAACUUCCUUUAACAUGGACUCAGAUGAGAAAUUCUCUAGUCACAGUUCUAAUUGCCACUACAACAAUCGUGGAUACUUUAUUUAAAGCCACAUAAGAGUGAAAAGAAAGAUAUAAUAUACAAAGAUAAAUGAUUUUUUUAAAUAUAUAAGAAUGACUGCCUCAGACAUAUGACAUCUGACUGUGCUAUGUGGCCAUAUUAGAUUGAGGUAGGGACCCAAGCUUUCAUGACUACGAACCUUUUCAGCAAAAACAAGUAUUAAUACAUAAUCAAGUUCUAUAAAGUGGUGCCAUAUGCUUAAAUAAAAUGCUGAUAACAGUUUAAUUAACAAGCUCUGGCUGUAGUCCAUGUUGAUAGAAUUUUCUGGAGCAUAAUUCUAUCCAAAAGAUAUUGGAUAAGCUAAUUGGCAGGAGCUAUUCAGAGGUAUGCUGUUAGUAGAAGAGGAUUCAUCUCCCUUGAAAGGUACCACCUUUUAAGAACCUGAAAAAAACAUGUGUGAAUCCUUAAGAGGUUUUCAUGUCCAAAGCUGAUGUCGCUGGGGAGUUCUACUGUCCAGAGACAAAUCAGGUAAUAUUCAAGUUUACUGAACAAUGUUGUGGUGGUGUUUAGGCGCACUCGCUGAAUAACAUCAGUGAUAAUGGUAGAAAUAAAAACUGUGUGAAGUAUAGUCAUUUACGAAGUGCUUGAAAUUUGACAGGAUUUUCUAUACAUCAUCUUGUAUAAUAUGCACAACAUUCCUGAACGAUGGGCAUCACAUUCUGUACAGAUAACGGAUCUAAGGGACUAGGGCAUAGUGUUUUGCACUGGACCGGAACAAGACUUCCAGCCCAGGCUUGGUGCCUAUGUCACUGUUCUCACUGGUUUAUGUUGCCUAAGGGAAUAGGUACAUUAGCAGAAGAGUCUGUAUAAUAUUCUGUUUCCGUGGAGAUGAAAACCCAAGCUUCUCUCCUUUUUUAACUUCUUGCUCUGUAACGCUCAAGAAUAACAGAAGUCUGUAGGAUAGGAUUCUAGCAGGGAUAAUUCUCAAGUCUUGAUAGAGCUAUCCUCUCAGCUGUAUCAGACAAAAUGCAGAAGCUAAGUCUGGGAGGAGCAUGCUGUGUAGUUUUCACUCCCUCUCACACAUUUUCCUCCUAUGGACUUUUCAUGAGAGUUCCAAUCCUUAGCACUUAUAGUAAAUGCCAGGAAGUUCUGCAGUGAAGUAGACUUACAGAGCUGGAGAAAACUGACUUCUUCACCUUACAACCAUUUCUUCUCUGUCAGGCUGCUGCUAGCAUCUCAUAUCCCCAAAAGUCAGAGAUAGCUGAUAAAUGUCCUGUCGUCUAAUUUAGGAGAAAUUUAAUGCUUGCAUCAUAAUCAGGUGUAUACAUCAGUAAAGACUUGCAAAUGUUUGCUUUACAACACAGUGAUGGCAAAAGACAGUGAACCCUGGAGAUGGCAUAUCAAAUUUAUUGUGUAUAGUUCUCUAAAUUCAAGUCAGGGAAAUGUGUGUGUUUACUUCCUGUGAGUGUAAAUACUAUAUCUUUUUCAAAAUGGGAAGAGUUACGGCGUCUAGAUAUUAUACAUUUUACAUUUCAAAAAUGUAGAAAUUUUGUUACAUGUGCUAUCUCUCCAAAUAAAGCUGCUUUUGUUUUUCAAGUUGUCUUUCUAGAAAUGUUUAGUUUGCUAGAACAACAUAGAAAUGACAGUAUUUUUAAAAGAUUGUAUUUAAUACUUCCCUAUAAGGUUAGCAGAUUUCAUCUCUAAUGGAACGUGUAUGUUCAUCUGUGUGGUAGUAUACAGAGUAUAGUUGAUAUGUAUAGUAUGUGUAUGUGUGAUGUGUGUAUAUAUACAAAGUAUUAUAUAGAUAGAUAUGUAUAUACAUACAUAUAUAUAUAUUAUAGUAUCUGUAUAUAGAACAAAGUAUAUAUAGAGUAUGUAUCAUUUAUAUAUAUAUGUGGUAUAUAUGUGUAAUUAUGGUGUACACACACUCACACCCAAAUAUGUGUGUGUGUGUGUGUGUGUGUGUGUGUGAACUAUGUUUGUGAAUUUGUGUGUGGUGUUGGAAUGGAACUUUGUACCUGAUGUGCUAGUAUACAUCUUACCCUAUGUGAAAAAGCUUCAACAUUUUCAGUGUGUUGUUUUUUUCAAGCCAAGAAAAAUAUAGACAGUCAUCAGUCUAUGUUUCAUAUGAUCAGAUCUUUAUAGCUUAGAAAUAAUGGCCUAUCAUUGCCUAUGCUCCCAAACUAGUCUAGACUCAUCUCAGUUACAGUCUUGGUUGAAGAUGCCUGUCCUGUCUGUAUUUCUCACAUGAAUUAUUCACUUUUUGACCAUGAGUGUGAAUGUAUUUUAGAUCACAUAGUUAGUCUGAUUUUAAACAUAUAAGAUGAAGCACAUGACAAUAGAUUUAAAAACCAGGACUCAAGAUACAGUGUUUGCUAUGCAAGCAUGAGAACCAUGAUUCAGAACCCCAACAUCAACACAAAAGCUGGGCUGGAUUGGUACCUGCCUAUCUGUUAAAUUAAAUACCUGAUAUCAACAUUUGGCUUCCACAUACAUCUGCACACAUAUGUAGACACAUUUGACCAUUUAUAUACACAUUCAACACACAUAUAUAUAUAUGCAAAUAGAGAUGCAUUAAAACUUUUUAAAAGCAGUUCAUGAAGUAUCUGUCUGAGUGUACCUGUAUGUACAUAUGAUUUCAGAUUUAAGGGGAUGAAAAGCAUAUAGAAUGGAGUUGCAUAUUAUAUAGGUAGAGAGCCUAGUGCAUGGGUUAGGAAACUGUAAAUCACAUUUAAGGUUCUCAUUAGUAGCAGUUAAUCAACCACUUCUUCUCUGUCCCCUAACCACUCCCGUGGAGGAGACAAGUUUUCAACGAUUACUUAUGGGUCUGGCCAUGCACACUGAAAAAGAUUGUGGUUCUAGUCCCCAAGAUUAAUCUCCAGAAACAGUUAAAAGUUCUUAUCACACUUAGAUGAUUCAGUCACAUUCCCUGUACUGAAGAUUUUUCCAUCUCCUCUUUCCAUCUACUUGGCUACCACCUCCAUUUUUGUAUGUAGACUUCCAGUGCUCUACAAGGUUCCCUACGUCCAGCUUCGCCCACCUGAUGUCUACUUUCUCCCAUGAAUGAAUGAAUGAAAACUCUGUAAUUUCAAUAGCAAGCUUAUUUGUGCAAUGCAGAUAGAAUAUUUCCAUCACAUAAGAUAUCAUCUAAGCUCACACAUAGUUUUUUUUAUGAAAAUAACCAAAUAUUAGCAUCCAGCACUUUACUUGUACACCAGUGCAUUUUGGAAAGUAAAAAAAUGUAUUUGCAGUCAAUACUGUCUUUUAUAUUCAUGUGCUAUAUAACACAAAUACUAUAAAUAUAUCUUUCUAAAUUUCUCUUCUCUCCUCUCUUUCAUUUUCUCUCCCUUUUCCUUUUUGUUUAUCUCUUAUACACUCUUUUUGUUCUCUGCCUGUUCCCCCACCCCC
rnacentral:lncRNA from 1 species